GUGCUUGCUUCCGCUACACAUAUACUUGAAUUGGAACGAUGCAGAAGAGAUUAGGAUGAUCCUUGCACAAGGAUGACACGCAAAUUCGUGACACAUUCCGCAUUUCU
ensembl:snRNA U6 U6 spliceosomal RNA